rnacentral:rRNA from 1 species
GAUGAACGCUGGCGGCGUGCCUAAUACAUACAAGUCGAGCGAACGGACGAGAAGCUUGCUUCUCUGAUGUUAGCGGCGGACGGGUGAGUAACACGUGGAUAACCUACCUAUAAGACUGGGAUAACUUCGGGAAACCGGAGCUAAUACCGGAUAAUAUUUUGAACCGCAUGGUUCAAAAGUGAAAGACGGUCUUGCUGUCACUUAUAGAUGGAUCCGCGCUGCAUUAGCUAGUUGGUAAGGUAACGGCUUACCAAGGCAACGAUGCAUAGCCGACCUGAGAGGGUGAUCGGCCACACUGGAACUGAGACACGGUCCAGACUCCUACGGGAGGCAGCAGUAGGGAAUCUUCCGCAAUGGGCGAAAGCCUGACGGAGCAACGCCGCGUGAGUGAUGAAGGUCUUCGGAUCGUAAAACUCUGUUAUUAGGGAAGAACAUAUGUGUAAGUAACUGUGCACAUCUUGACGGUACCUAAUCAGAAAGCCACGGCUAACUACGU